rnacentral:rRNA from 1 species
GGAAUAUUGCGCAAUGGGGGAAACCCUGACGCAGCGACGCCGCGUGGAUGAUGAAGGCCUUCGGGUCGUAAAAUCCUGUCAGAUGGGAAGAAGUGUAUAUUACCUAAUACGUGAUAUAUUUGACGGUACCAUCAAAGGAAGCACCGGCUAACUCCGUGCCAGCAGCCGCGGUAAUACGGAGGGUGCAAGCGUUGUUCGGAAUUACUGGGCGUAAAGCGCGCGUAGGCGGCUUGUUAAGUCAGAUGUGAAAGUCCACGGCUCAACCGUGGAAGUGCAUAUGAAACUGGCAGGCUUGAGUAUUGGAGGGGGUAGUGGAAUUCCCGGUGUAGAGGUGAAAUUCGUAGAUAUCGGGAGGAAUACCGGUGGCGAAGGCGACUACCUGGCCAAAUACUGACGCUGAGGUGCGAAAGCGUGGGGAGCAAACAGGAUUAGAAACCCUGGUAGUCC